rnacentral:rRNA from 1 species
UACGGGGGGGGCAAGCGUUGUUCGGAAUUACUGGGCGUAAAGGGCUUGUAGGUGGCCAACUAAGUCAGACGUGAAAUCCCUCGGCUUAACCGGGGAACUGCGUCUGAUACUGGAUGGCUGGAGUGUGGGAGAGGGAUGCGGAAUUCCAGGUGUAGCGGUGAAAUGCGUAGAUAUCUGGAGGAACACCGGUGGCGAAGGCAAUCCCCUGGGCCUGCACUGACGCUCAUGCACGAAAGCGUGGGGAGCAAACAGG